rnacentral:lncRNA from 1 species
GUCUAUUCCCCAUCACCUAGGACUGUAUUCUGAAAUUUAAAGCAUCUAUAUCCCAGUUACCCAAUCCCUUUUAUACGAAGAAUAUGAAGUUCUUCUCUCAGGCAAAUGAGAGGCGAUAACCACCUCCAUUUUUUGUCAGACUUUUCUUCUUCCUACAGGUCAAAGCCUUCCAACAAGAUGAAACCUGCUUUCUCUCUCCUGCUCAUUCUCAUCCCACGUCUUAGGCUGAGAUCCCCUGGCAAUGCUGACUGCACCUCAGUACUUAGCUGUGGAUGGAAAAAUAUCAGCAGCCCUUUUUGCACCAGCAGGCCCCCUUGGAAACAGAAAGAUUCUGGAAGAUGAGUUGGGAGUUUGAGAAGGGAAAAUCAAAUCCUGUCCAAUCCCCUAAGGAAGAACAGCAGCUGGCUAUGUAGCAAAGAGAGGGAAAGAAGUUAGCCUAGGAAGCUGUAUAAUCAUCAUUGACCUAGAUUAAGAUUAAUUUAGGUUGGGAUUUGAAUCUUAUGCUCUGCAAUUUAUCAGUUCUGUACUCUGAAAUUAUUUGAUUGUGCCUUCUUUCUCUUGGUUUCUAAUAAAAUUGUCUUGAGAAAAUAU